rnacentral:lncRNA from 1 species
CCUUCUGGGUGUGUGGCGUGGUCUCGGUCUGACAAUCUCUAGAACAACCCUACGAGGUGGUAAUUAUUAUUCUCAUGCUGCAAGGGAUAUCUCCCACCUCCUAGGUGGACUCAGGUCUUGUGGGGCUUAAUGCUUUUAAAUUUGGGCUGCCUUUUGAAGGGAAAAGACUACAAAAUUAUGAAUACAAAAUGAGGUUAAGGUCUUGGGAGGGGCCCAUGCAAGCUGGGGGCUCUGCAGGUAAGCUUGUUUAGCUUCCCAGCAAAUCCACCUCUGAGCUUGCAAAUUACAAAGCUGGAAUUUGAACUCACAUCUGCUGGAUGCAAAGUCCGAGGUCUUCCUGUAGCAUGACCGUCUUCCUGUGUGAUGAGAAACAUCAGGCUGCCGAGGCCAAACAGUGGGUGCGUCACUUUCCAAUGAGGCAGGUGUGCGGGACAGGAAGUGGGAGGUUCUCCUUGCAGGGGAGCGGCUGCUGCCAACAUCCCAGCUGGUACCUGUCCCUGAGAAUGGUUUGGCAGGUGGGGGCCACUUGAAGUCUCUGCUCCUACACCCCGUCACCCCUCCCAGGCUGCUUUCAGAGGAGGGCAAAGGGUAUUCAUUCCAGCCUCCAAUUUCUUCCUCCCACUCCUCGAAAGCAUUUAAGUGAGGAAGGCAGGGAAAACGUAGAUGAUUCUGCUAUUGACAGGAGGCCUUUUUUUCCUGCUGGAAGUAAAAGGAGACACUCUAGCUGGGCAGCCAGCCCCACCCUCCAGGGCUCCAUCUGGCCUGGCUGAGGCUGGCCAGCCCCUGCUGUGCAUGGAGGGGUGCUGGGAAGCCUACCUUGCUUCACACUUUCCUCUUCCACACCCGGCCUGUGACUCAUGCCUGAAACGCCUCCGUUCAAGCAAUUCUUCCUUUUAUUGUGAAGCACUGCUCUCUUCCGGCUCCUCCCCUAAGUCACCACGCAGGGGAGAUUUAAGGGAGAGGUUAUUUCCCCACCGUGUUCAGGGACAACCCUGUGAUCAUGGUUUUGGUCACAUAGCUUCCAAGUGAGUGUUGUGCAAACAUUUGCUAGGAUCUCUCGGGGAGCCUGUUAGAAAAGAAACUCCUGAGCCUGCUCCAGAGCUUCUGUUCAGCAGGCCUGAGGUGGGACCAUACACCUGUCUUUUCAGCAAGCCCCCCCCCACCUCUGAGGAUGCACCCCAAAGCUAGAGAAUUCCUGCUCUGAGCCAUCUCUGAAAGCACCAAGAGCCAGGUCAGGAAGAUUCCUGCAGCUGCUGAGUUAGUACUUUUAAGAAAGUACUGGAUUCCCUCUCACAAUGGGACUUUGAUUUUUUUAAGAAAAAGGUUUCAUAAGUUUUCAAAUAACCUGGAGCAGUUGAGCAAACUUAAUGUGCAGCGUGGUCCCUGCUGGCUGGGUUUGAGGGGCUGGGUCUCUCUGAGUGGAUGCUGGUGAGGUGCAGAGGAAGAAGAAAAGGUGCCUGAGGGCCUGUGUGGAAGGCCUGUCACACAGCACAUCCUGGGAAAUCUGUCCAGGAAGCAGCCAGGCGGGCAUCAGCCAGGCGGGCAUCAGCAUCUUCACUGUGCAGAUGAGAAACUGAGGCCGCAGAGGUGAAGGGACAUGCCCAGGAUCACUAAGGUGAUCCCUAGAAACACAGCCAGUGGCCCGGAAGCUGCACUGUUUUGUGCACCGCAGGGAUGGGCACAGAUGGGGCUGCCUGCCCUCCUCCUGGAAGGAGGGAGAACCCAGUCUGGCCUGGAGUGGUCAAGAGCUAACUCUAGACUCAGCAAGACCUACUUCUCUCUCCUGCCCCUACUUCCUUGCUGCUGACCUGGGCAAGUCGCUGAAGCCUCUCCGUGCCUCAGUCUGCUCGUGCGUAAGAUGGGCACAGGGCACACUGCCUACUUGAUUGGGCUCAACCACGUGCAGUAAGUAGCUGGUGUCUGGCAAGAGCCCUCAGGAAACAGUAACCCCAUUAAUUCAAAUGCACGUGCCUGGAACAGGCUCUGGGGGGCCAGCCCGGGAGUCCCACUCCAUGAUGGCCACCCUGGGGCCUGGCAGGCUGGGCUGGCAUCCCAGGCCCACCGGAUACUGGCUGUGCACCCCGGCCAGGCCACACAUCUCUGAGCCUCACUUUCCCGUGUGUGAGAUGAGGCUAGAAGCUGCUUUCUCUUGCGUGUGUGGGGAUUGGCGGUGACAACACGGCCAGGAGCCCAGGCCCAGCCUACGCGAGCAGCCUCGCUCCAGGCCACACGCCCCACUCCUGACAGCUCUGUGCAGCGAGUUCGUGCGCGAGCGGGUGGCUGUCUGCCAGGCGAGGGGCGCGGGUGCCCAAGAGGGCUUCACUGCUUCUGGAAAGAUCACAAGGAAAAACCACCUCCGCGGCGGGACGCUACCCGCGGGCCGCUGCGGUCCCGCUCGCGGCCGGCAGGGGGCAGGAUGUCCCCGCGAGUCGCCCGUGUCUUCGGGUGUCCUCAGGUCACCCCGCACCGCUCGCAGCCUCCGCGCCUAGUUAAAGGGCGACGCACUCAUUUCUGCAAAGAAGGAGCCCAGCGGCCCCUCCCCGGGGAACUCUUUCCAUCAACUCGGGGCCUAAUAAUUUACAUUUAAUUUGUUAGCGGUUUAAUGUUUAAUUUUAAAAGCGAGAUGAUUCAUUACCAUAUUAAUAAAUAAUAACAUUUAUUAUUCUCCUAAUGAGUGUCCAAAAUACAGAAGCAAUUACAUGUUUUAUAUAUUUUCUCGUAAUUUGAGACACCAGAGCGUUAAUUACAGAGACUCACGCGUGGACCCCAUUCUGAUCCAGGGUCCUGAUCCUGCCUUUGUUUCGGUCUCUGAACCAGCCGCCCUCCGGGGCUUCUGCAAUUCCCUCAAUUAGAGGAGAGGAAGUCGUACGUGACGAAGCUGGGGCUCUCACAGAACCCCGGCGCCCCAGACCCAGGAGCUGCAAGACCUCAGCUCCCCGUGCCCACACUCGGAGACCCAGGCCCCUCCCAGUCCCCCGUCUCCUCUGUGCAGGGUUCUUCAGGAAGAAUCGGAAAGAGGCCCCCCGACCCACAACCAGCCUCGCAUUCCCUCCUCCCGCAGGGAUCCAUUGAGCUGGGGGGUGGGACUAUCCUCACUUCACAGAUGGGGAAACUGAGUCCUGGAGAGAGACGCUCCGGUGUCCUCAGCUGGUGAGGGGCAGAUCCGGGAGCCACGUCCCACGCAGUCGGUUGGCCCCAAGCUUGGUUCCUGCCUCAACCCCAGCGCAGGUUGCAGCAGGCCCGCGUAGGAGGGCGGCCUGGGUCUGGACAGAUCCACAGCCGGCCAACGCCCCUGGCUAGCUCUCUAUGGCUUUGCUUCUUCUCUUGACUUGCCAAGUUCUUCUUGUUCAUUGUAGAAAAUGUGGAAGGUGAGGCCGGGAGCGGUGGCUCACGCCUGUAAUCCUAGCACUUUGGGAGGCCGAGGCGGGCAGAUUGCCUGAGCUCAGGAGUUCGAGACCAGCCUGGGCAACAUGGUGAAACACGUCUCUACUAAAAAAAAAAAAAAAAAAAAAAAAAAAAUUUGCUGGGCGUGACGGCAGGCGCCUGUAGUCCCAGUGGGAGUUUGGGGAGGCUGAGGCAGGAGAAUCACUUGAACCCGGGAAGCAGAGAUUGCAGUGAGCCGAGAUCGUGCCACUGCACUCCAAUCUAGCGACAGAGCAAGACUCCGUCUCAAAAAAAAAAAAAAAAAAAAAAGUGGAAGGUGAAAAAAACACGGAGAGACAGCAAAGCUGGCAAUGACAUAGCUCCAAAAAUCCCACUUCUCAGAUAAGAUGCAGGCAGUAAGGGCCUGGAGUUUUAUGUAUCCUGAUGUUUGAAAGGGCUUGGACAGGGCACUUCCUCCCUCCAUAGCUCUUCUGUCCUUAGGAAUCCCUCCCUUCUGGAGGGGAAGGGUGGGGGUUUUCCUGUUUGGUCCCCAGGGAAGGAAGUUCAGAGACAGAGGCCCACUCAGGGCCACCCCCUGGCCUGCACCCCUGAAAUGCAAUUUGGAUAAUAUGGAAAAUUACUAGGAAGAAAAAACGCUAUAAUCCCCCCACCUAGAGAUAACCAGGCGUUCUGGUAUAUACCUAUUGAGGACUUUUUUCCCAAGCAAAUACUCAGAAAGAGACUUCCUCCCAAUAGGCAUGAGAUCUUACUCCACGUGCAGUUUGUCUUAUCUUGAUUUUUUUCCAGUAAUCUUUUAAGAGUUUCCCAUGCCAUGUAGUCAUUCUUCAAAAACCCACUUUGAACAGCUGCGUAAUAUUCCGCUGUGGAGGAGUGCCCUGCAGUGUAGAGAAAUGAGUUAUUUACGCUGAAGUCUGUUAUUACAUGGACAUCUUCCCUUUUCUGACCCUGCAAUGACCACACUCAUAGGUGAGUCUCUCUGGAAAUCCUUGACUACCUCCUUAGGGUCCAUUCUUAGAAGUGGAAUUACUGGGUUAGAGGGCAUGAGUGCCUUGAGGGCGGCUGUCUCCCUCUACCUGCAUGCCUGCCAGGGCAAACCCGUGCAUGCUCCCAGGACAGGCCUGGCAGGGCGUGUCUCCCUGCUGCACCCUUGGUACCCUUGGCAGGGCUAACAUUAUCCUCUAAACCAGGUCUUUGCAGCACUUACCCUUUUCAAGGUGCUACUGUACCUCUCCUUUAAGGAG